AGAGUUUGAUUAUGGCUCAGAACGAACGCUGGCGGCGCGUUUUAAGCAUGCAAGUCGAGCGGCAAGGGUCUUCGGGCCCCUAGAGCGGCGGACGGGUGAGUAACACGUGGACAAUCUGCCCCCCGGCCGGGGAUAGCCCAGGGAAACCUGGAUUAAUACCGGAUGAGACGGGACCCGCGGAGGCGGGAUCCGGGAAAGGCGCUGCGGCGCCGCCGGGGGAUGAGUCUGCGUCCCAUUAGCUUGACGGCGGGGUAACGGCCCACCGUGGCGACGAUGGGUAGCCGGCCUGAGAGGGUGGACGGCCACAUUGGAACUGAGACACGGUCCAGACUCCUACAGGAGGCAGCAGCUAAGAAUCUUCCGCAAUGGGCGAAAGCCUGACGGAGCGACGCCGCGUGAACGAAGAAGGCCGUGAGGUUGUAAAGUUCUUUUCGGGAGGGGGAACAACCGUGGCAGGGAAUGGCCGCGGGAUGACGUGAAUCCCGGAAUAAGCCCCGGCUAACUACGUGCCAGCAGCCGCGGUAACACGUAGGGGGCGAGCGUUGUUCGGAAUCAUUGGGCGUAAAGGGCGUGCAGGCGGUCCUGCAAGUCCGGCGUGAAAGACCCCGGCCCAACCGGGGGGGCGCGCUGGAAACUGCAGGGCUUGAGUACAGGAGGGGAUGCCGGAAUUCCAGGUGUAGGGGUGAAAUCUGUAGAUAUCUGGAGGAACACCAAUGGCGAAGGCAGGCAUCUGGCCAUGUACUGACGCUGAGACGCGAAGGUGCGGGGAGCAAACAGGAUUAGAUACCCUGGUAGUC
rnacentral:rRNA from 1 species